ensembl:antisense jun proto-oncogene, opposite strand
UGAUUUGCUUCUGGGAAAACAAGCCUUGAGAGCUGCGGACUCGCCCUAAGUCACGGUGCUUAAGCAGGAGUCCCUGGUAGAAACAGGCUGAAAACUCCCCUCCCCGCUCACUGGUGGAGUCAUAUCCUGUGCGGCCUCUAGGAAGCGCUAGACACAUGUGGUUCCUCAGACCCUGUUCAACUGUCCCGCAGGCCGGGACAGAAGCCAGCUAAGGUUGCUUGAUAGAAGGCUGAGAAAGAAUGAGACUGCUGAGUGAAGCCAGAGGGAGAAUACGCUCAAAGACAAGCAGGCCCAUCAAGUCAGAGUGGAGAGCAGGAUGAGAAAAAGACCAUUUCUCCAAGUGAUAAAAGUAGCAAAAUCACUGGAGCCCAGAAGAAUUAGUCUAAACUGGAAUGUGUUUACCACUCCAACCUGCUUCUCCUAUCAGUUCCUUUCACGGGUACAAGGAAACAUCUGCCUACAUGUCCAUACGAGUAUUUCAUUACCAUUCUAAAAGUGUUAUCGGACUUCGUUGCCUCCUUCUUCACCAACCUAUGAUCGAUCAGCCUAAUAAAUGCUCAUGAGUGUGUUCUGCCUUCCCCAUUAUAACAAGGUCAAGAUUGGUCAAAGAC